rnacentral:rRNA from 1 species
GACGAACGCUGGCGGCGUGCUUAACACAUGCAAGUCGAACGGAAAGGCCCUGCUUUUGUGGGGUGCUCGAGUGGCGAACGGGUGAGUAACACGUGAGUAACCUGCCCUUGACUUUGGGAUAACUUCAGGAAACUGGGGCUAAUACCGGAUAGGAGCUCCUGCUGCAUGGUGGGGGUUGGAAAGUUUCGGCGGUUGGGGAUGGACUCGCGGCUUAUCAGCUUGUUGGUGGGGUAGUGGCUUACCAAGGCUUUGACGGGUAGCCGGCCUGAGAGGGUGACCGGCCACAUUGGGACUGAGAUACGGCCCAGACUCCUACGGGAGGCAGCAGUGGGGAAUAUUGCACAAUGGGCGGAAGCCUGAUGCAGCAACGCCGCGUGCGGGAUGACGGCCUUCGGGUUGUAAACCGCUUUCGCCUGUGACGAAGCGUGAGUGACGGUAAUGGGUAAAGAAGCACCGGCUAACUACGUGCCAGCAGCCGCGGUGAUACGUAGGGUGCGAGCGUUGUCCGGAUUUAUUGGGCGUAAAGGGCUCGUAGGUGGUUGAUCGCGUCGGAAGUGUAAUCUUGGGGCUUAACCCUGAGCGUGCUUUCGAUACGGGUUGACUUGAGGAAGGUAGGGGAGAAUGGAAUUCCUGGUGGAGCGGUGGAAUGCGCAGAUAUCAGGAGGAACACCAGUGGCGAAGGCGGUUCUCUGGGCCUUUCCUGACGCUGAGGAGCGAAAGCGUGGGGAGCGAACAGGCUUAGAUACCCUGGUAGUCCACGCUGUAAACGGUGGGUACUAGGUGUGGGGUCCAUUCCACGGGUUCCGUGCCGUAGCUAACGCUUUAAGUACCCCGCCUGGGGAGUACGGCCGCAAGGCUAAAACUCAAAGGAGUUGACGGGGCCCCGCACAAGCGGCGGAGCAUGCGGAUUAAUUCGAUGCAACGCGUAGAACCUUACCUGGGUUUGACAUGGAUCGGGAGUGCUCAGAGAUGGGUGUGCCUCUUUUGGGGUCGGUUCACAGGUGGUGCAUGCCUGUCGUCAGCUCGUGUCGUGAGAUGUUGGGUUAAGUCCCGCAACGAGCGCAACCCUUGUUCACUGUUGCCAGCACGUUAUGGUGGGGACUCAGUGGAGACCGCCGGGGUCAACUCGGAGGAAGGUGGGGAUGACGUCAAGUCCUCAUGCCCCUUAUGUCCAGGGCUUCACGCAUGCUACAAUGGCUGGUACAGAGAGUGGCGAGCCUGUGAGGGUGAGCGAAUCUCGGAAAGCCGGUCUCAGUUCGGAUUGGGGUCUGCAACUCGACCUCAUGAAGUCGGAGUCGCUAGUAAUCGCAGAUCAGCAACGCUGCGGUGAAUACGUUCCCGGG